GAUGAACGCUAGCGGCAGGCUUAACACAUGCAAGUCGAGGGGUAUAUUUCUUCGGAGAUGGAGACCGGCGCACGGGUGCGUAACGCGUAUGCAAUCUACCUUUUACAGAGGGAUAGCCCAGAGAAAUUUGGAUUAAUACCUCAUAGCAUUGCAGGAUGGCAUCAUUCAGCAAUUAAAGUCACAACGGUAAAAGAUGAGCA
rnacentral:rRNA from 1 species